AUGGGUCAUCCAUCUUCGUUGCCGGUUGAUGAGCAGCAAAAUGCAUCGAACCAUGGGAAUGGAUGCGGUGUUGGGAAGGUCCAUCGUGGCGACGGCGACGAAGAUGGACCUUCCCGGCAUCGCCGCCGCCGCGCGCUCAGCCGUCAGCUGUUCAAGCUCCGGGGCACCGUCUCCCCAGUAGACCUUUCUCCGCUCGAUGAAGUUUCUUGCAGGCCAGAUCCAUUUUCUGUGGAUUUCCUCUCUCAAUUUGUAUUUUUUUUCUUGGUUUGUGUCUCUGCUUGGUGUGGUGGUGGCGACGGCGAGCCACUAGUCUAG
rnacentral:rRNA from 1 species